GAGUUUGAUCCUGGCUCAGAAUCAACGCUGGCGGCGUGCCUCAGACAUGCAAGUCGAACGCGAAAGUUCCCUUCGGGGGGCAAGUAGAGUGGCGCACGGGUGAGUAACACGUAGGUAAUCUACCUUUGGAUUGGGAAUAACCACCGGAAACGGUGGCUAAUACCGAAUAAUGCAGCGGCACCUAAUGGUGACAGUUGUUAAAGCGGGGGAUCGAAAGACCUCACGUCUGAAGAGGAGCCUGCGGCAGAUUAGCUAGUUGGUAAGGUAGCGGCUUACCAAGGCGAUGAUCUGUAGCCGGCCUGAGAGGGCGGUCGGCCACACUGACACUGACAUACGGGUCAGACUCCUACGGGAGGCAGCAGUCGGGAAUUUUGGGCAAUGGGCGAAAGCCUGACCCAGCAACGCCGCGUGAAGGAUGAAAUCCUUCGGGAUGUAAACUUCGCAAGAACGGGAAGAAUAAGUAAGGGUUAAUAUCUCUUACGAUGACGGUACUGUUUGUAAGCUCCGGCUAACUCCGUGCCAGCAGCCGCGGUAAUACGGGGGGAGCAAGCGUUGUUCGGAUUUACUGGGCGUAAAGGGCGCGUAGGCGGCCACCGCAAGUCGACUGUGAAAUCUCCGGGCUUAACCCGGAAAGGUCAGCCGAUACUGCGGGGCUAGAGUGCAGAAGGGGCAACUGGAAUUCUCGGUGUAGCGGUGAAAUGCGUAGAUAUCGAGAGGAACACCUGCGGCGAAGGCGGGUUGCUGGGCUGACACUGACGCUGAGGCGCGAAAGCUAGGGGAGCGAACGGGAUUAGAUACCCCGGUAGUCCUAGCCUUAAACGAUGAAUGCUUGGUGUCUGGGGUUUUAUAGUCCCCGGGUGCCGUCGCUAACGCUUUAAGCAUUCCGCCUGGGGAGUACGGUCGCAAGACUGAAACUCAAAGGAAUUGACGGGGGCCCGCACAAGCGGCGGAGCGUGUGGCUCAAUUCGAUGCAACGCGAAGAACCUUACCUGGGCUUGACAUGUACGGUAAAGCGGGUGAAAGCCCGUGUGCUUCGGCGCCGUACACAGGUGGUGCAUGGCUGUCGUCAGCUCGUGUCGUGAGAUGUUGGGUUAAGUCCCGCAACGAGCGCAACCCCUGUCCUAUGUUGCCAGCGGGUAAUGCCGGGGACUCAUGGGAGACCGCCGGUGCCAAACCGGAGGAAGGUGGGGAUGAAGUCAAGUCAGCAUGCCCCUUACGUCCAGGGCUGCACACGCGCUACAAUGGCCGGUACAAAGGGUUGCAAACUCGCGAGGGUGAGCUAAUCCCAAAAAACCGGUCUCAGUUCGGAUUGCAGUCUGCAACUCGACUGCAUGAAGUCGGAGUCGCUAGUAAUCGCAGAUCAGCACGCUGCGGUGAAUACGUUCCCGGGCAUUGCACACAC
rnacentral:rRNA from 1 species